rnacentral:rRNA from 1 species
ACGAACGCUGGCGGCGUGCCUAAUGCAUGCAAGUCGCACGCACGGAGCUUGCUCCGUGAGUGGCGCACGGCUGAGGAACACGUGAGCACCUGCCCCACCGUGGGGGAUAACCUGGCGAAAGCCAGGCUAAUCCCGCAUACGUCCCGCUCCUUACGAGCGGGGGAAAGCUUUACGGCGCGGUGGGAGGGGCUUGCGGCCCAUCAGGUUGUUGGCGGGGGUAACGGCCCACCAAGCCCGUGACGGGUAGCUGGUCUGUGAGGACAACCAGCCAGACUGGGACUGAGAAACGGCCCAAGACUCCUACGGGAGGCAGCAGCAAGGAAUUUUCCCCAAUGGGCUCACGCCUGAGGGAGCAACGCCGCGUGCGGGAUGACGGCCUUCGGGUUGUAAACCGCUUUUCGGUGGGACGAUGAUGACGGUACCGCCGGAAUAAGCCCCGGCUAACUCUGUGCCAGCAGCCGCGGUAAGACAGAGGGGGCAAGCGUUGUCCGGACUAACUGGGCGUAAAGCGCGCGCAGGCGGUGACGGGCGUCGGUGCUGAAAGCGCACCGCUUAACGGUGCAAUGCGUGCCGAUACGCCGUCGCUGGAGGGCGGGCGGGGGUGGUGGAAUUGCCGGUGUAGUGGUGAAAUGCGUAGAGAUCGGCAGGAACACCCGUGGCGUAAGCGGCCACCUAGCCCGUGCCUGACGCUGAGGCGCGACAGCGUGGGGAGCGAACUGGAUUAGAUACCCAGGUAGUCCACGCCGUAAACGAUGCCGACCAGGUCUCCGGUGCCCGAUAGGGCGCGGGGGGCCGUAGCUCACGCACUAAGUCGGCCGCCUGGGGACUACGAGCGCAAGCUUAAAACUCAAAGGAAUUGACGGGGGCCCGCACAAGCAGCGGAGCGUGUGGUUUAAUUCGACGCAACGCGCAGAACCUUACCCAGAUUGGACAUGGCGCUGCAAGCCGGUGAAAGCCGGUCGCCUUCGAGGGUGCGCCACCGGUGCUGCAUGGCUGUCGUCAGCUCGUGUCGUGAGAUGUUGGGUUAAGUCCCGCAACGAGCGCAACCCCUACGGCCAGUUAUACGUGUCUGGCCGGACUGCCCUUCGGGGAGGAAGGCGGGGAUGACGUCAAGUCCGCAUGGCCCUUACGUCUGGGGCGACACACACGCUACAAUGGCGUCGACAGUGCGAAGCGACCUGGUAACAGGCAGCGAAUCGCCAAACGGCGUCUCAGUGCAGAUUGGGGGCUGCAACUCGCCCCCAUGAAGGCGGAGUUGCUGGUAACCGCGUAUCAGCCAUGGCGCGGUGAAUACGUACCCGGGCCUUGUACACACCGCCCGUCACGUCAUGGGAGUCGGCAACGCCUGAAGUCCGUGGGCUGACCGUGUUCGCACGGGGGCAGCGGCCGAGGGCGGGGCCAGCGACUGGGACG